rnacentral:misc_RNA from 1 species
UUUCCGUAGGUGAACCAGCGGAGGGAUCAUUACCGGGUUUACAACUCCCAAACCCCUGUGAACAUACCUAUCGUUGCCUCGUCGGUGCCCGCUCCGGCGGCCCGCCAGAGAACCCCCAAACUCUUGUUUUAUACAGUAUCUUCCGAGUAACACGAUUAAAUUAAUCAAAACUUUCAACAACGGAUCUCUUGGUUCUG